GACGAACGCUGGCGGCGUGCUUAACACAUGCAAGUCGAACGAUGACGACCGAGCUUGCUCGGUCUGAUUAGUGGCGAACGGGUGAGUAACACGUGAGCAACCUGCCCUUCACUCUGGGAUAACCUCGGGAAAUCGGGGCUAAUACCGGAUAUGAGCUCCUGUCGCAUGGCGGGUGUUGGAAAGUUUUUCGGUGAAGGAUGGGCUCGCGGCCUAUCAGUUUGUUGGUGAGGUAGUGGCUCACCAAGGCGAUGACGGGUAGCCGGCCUGAGAGGGCGACCGGCCACACUGGGACUGAGACACGGCCCAGACUCCUACGGGAGGCAGCAGUGGGGAAUAUUGCACAAUGGGCGAAAGCCUGAUGCAGCGACGCCGCGUGAGGGAUGACGGCCUUCGGGUUGUAAACCUCUUUCAGCAGGGAAGAAGCGAAAGUGGCGGUACCUGCAGAAGAAGCGCCGGCUAACUACGUG
rnacentral:rRNA from 1 species